GAACUUAAGCAUAUCAAUAAGCGGAGGAAAAGAAACCAACAGGGAUUGCCUCAGUAACGGCGAGUGAAGCGGCAACAGCUCAAAUUUGAAAUCUGGCUCACGCCCGAGUUGUAAUUUGUAGAGGAUGUUUCGGGUGAAGCCGCGGUCCAAGUCCCUUGGAACAGGACGUCAUAGAGGGUGAGAACCCCGUACCUGGCCGCCGGUGCCCCCCGCUGUGAAACUCCUUCGACGAGUCGAGUUGUUUGGGAAUGCAGCUCUAAAUUGGUGGUAAAUUCCAUCUAAAGCUAAAUACCGGCCAGAGACCGAUAGCGCACAAGUAGAGUGAUCGAAAGAUGAAAAGCACUUUGAAAAGAGAGUUAAAAAGUACGUGAAAUUGUUGAAAGGGAAGCGCUUGCGGCCAGACUUGCCCGCGGUUGCUCAGCCCGCCUUUUGGCGGGUGCACUCUUCCGCGGUCAGGCCAGCAUCGGUUUGGGCGGCCGGAUAAAGGCGCUGGGAACGUGGCCUCCCCUCGGGGAGGUGUUAUAGCCCGGCGCGCAAUGCGACCAGCCCGGACCGAGGUUCGCGCUUUGCUAGGAUGCUGGCGUAAUGGCCGUAAGCGGCCCGUCUUGAAACACGGACCAAGGAGUCUAACAUCUAUGCGAGUGUUUGGGUGUCAAACCCGUGCGCGUAAUGAAAGUGAACGGAGGUGGGAACCGCAAGGUGCACCAUCGACCGAUCCUGAUGUCUUCGGAAGGAUUUGAGUAAGAGCAUAGCUGUUGGGACCCGAAA
rnacentral:rRNA from 1 species